rnacentral:rRNA from 1 species
AUUGAACGCUGGCGGUAUGCUUAACACAUGCAAGUCGAACGGCAGCAUGGUCUAGCUUGCUAGACUGAUGGCGAGUGGCGGACGGGUGAGUAACGCGUAGGAAUAUGCCUUGAAGAGUGGGACAACUUGGGGAAACUCAAGCUAAUACCGCAUGUACUCGAGAGAGUAAAGCUGGGGACCUUCAGGCCUGGCGCUUUAAGAUUAGCCUGCGUCCGAUUAGCUAGUUGGUAGGGUAAAGGCCUACCAAGGCGACGAUCGGUAGCUGGUCUGAGAGGAUGAUCAGCCACACUGGAACUGAGAGACGGUCCAGACUCCUACGGGAGGCAGCAGUGGGGAAUAUUGGACAAUGGGGGGAAGCCUGAUCCAGCAAUGCCGCGUGUGUGAAGAAGGCCUGAGGGUUGUAAAGCACCUUCAGUGGGGAGGAGGUUUGGAAGGUUAAGAGCUAUUCAAAUGGACGUUACCCACAGAAGAAGCACCGGCUAACUCCGUGCCAGCCGCCGCUGUAA